GAUAAACGCUGGCGGCGUGCUUAACACAUGCAAGUCGAACGAAGUUUUUCCUUCGGGAGCAACUUAGUGGCGGACGGGUGAGUAACGCGUGGGUAACCUGCCCUGUACAGGGGGACAACAGCUGUAAACGGCUGCUAAUACCGCAUAAGCCCUUAGCACUGCAUGGUGCAUAGGGAAAAGGAGCAAUCCGGUACAGGAUGGACCCGCGUCUGAUUAGCCAGUUGGCAGGGUAACGGCCUACCAAAGCGACGAUCAGUAGCCGAUCUGAGAGGAUGUACGGCCACAUUGGGACUGAGACACGGCCCAGACUCCUACGGGAGGCAGCAGUGGGGAAUAUUGCACAAUGGAGGAAACUCUGAUGCAGCGACGCCGCGUGAGUGAAGAAGUAUUUCGGUAUGUAAAGCUCUAUCAGCAGGGAAGAAAAUGACGGUACCUGACUAAGAAGCACCGGCUAAAUACGUG
rnacentral:rRNA from 1 species